rnacentral:lncRNA from 1 species
ACCGCGGCGACUUGGCGGCGGGUGCCAUGCGUCUGGAGCUUCACAUUCUCUGCCCCCCACCCACCGCGCCGGCGCUCCCUUGUCACGCCUCGGGAAGCGCGCACCUGCCAAGCAGGAUGAAUAAUCUGAUAUCAUGUGAAAUGAGGAAAUAAGAAGCUUUCUGCUGACUUCAUUUUGACCCAGGGUCCAAAAGGUGAUGUAAUCCUGUGGCAAGAAGAUUCAAAACUGUGGACUAUCUUGCAAAAAAUACAAGAAGAUAUUGAAAGUUUUCAUGAGUGCCUACCACCUAAUCUCAAACACUAUCAUUCAUAUGUGCCUCAUUGAGCAAAUCUUUAAUGAGGAUCUAUAUGCCAGCAAUAUCUUUUGCUUGGGAGCAGAAACAGAAAGUACAUGAUGGACUUCAUUGAAGGAUGGAGAUUUGGAAGACAUGAAUGGAUGAAGAACCAAGUGCGUGAGGGCACCUAUCAGGAUUAUUGCUGAAAUCCUUAUGGAGUUAACUGGCUGAGAGGAAGUAGAGAUGGGGUUUCACCAUGUUGCCCAGGCUGGUCUCAAACUCCUGAGCUCAGGCCAUCUGCCCGCCUCGGCCUCCCAAAGUGCUAGGAUUACAGAAGGUGCCUGCUUCCCCUUCACCUUCCACCAUGAUUGUAAGUUUCCUGAGGCCUCCCCAGACAUGUGGAACUAUUUCUGACUUCAUAUCUGUGGGAUCCACACAAUGGGGAGGUACUGGCCUUGGAAUCCAUGGUUCCCCAGCUAUCAUUUUACUUUAGAAUUACAGUGUUCUCUGUUAGUGUCAAGGGAAUGAACCUGACGAGAAAAGACCAAACAUAGGACUGUUACAGGGAAGAAAAAUAUGAAAAGACCUAAAGAUGCACGUCCUCAUUAUAUGUAAGGAAUCUAUUUCCUAGAAUCCUAUAAAAAGCUCAAGUGAAUUUGCUUCAGUUAAUAAAUGUGAUUUAAUUAUAA